CUCCUUUCAUAGAAAGCUAUUAUUUUUCUAGUAGCCUAAAUAAACAUAGACACAAUUCUGCUGAUGCUUUCUAAUGGAAUCAUCCGUUGGCUGCUCACCUGGAGACAAUCAAUACUAUGUAAUUAAAUGUAGGCUGAGAAUGCGGUGACAUAGUGAGGAGACGUCUGGGCGUCACAUUCUGCAGAGAGAAGUUUUAGCUGGAACAAGUCCUGGCGCAAAGGAAUGACACUGCAUGAUGUCAUGCUAGCAUCUAUGAGAAUCUUUAUUGACUAGAUCUCCAGUCUAUCUUAUCAACAUUUACCUUUGUUUUGUUGUUGAAUAAAUUAUAUUCUCUUUAAUUAUUGGC